AGGCGUAAUGAAAGUGAAAGGGGGGCGUCCCGGGGCUUCCUUCGCGGGAGCCCCGGUCGGCGCCCUCCGGGGCCGAUCCUCGACAGACCGUCGCCGCCGGUGUCUCUUCCCACACCAAAGCGGGGCCAAGACGGGAGCGGCGCGGGGUGAGACCCUUUCCCCCGUCGUCCGACUCCCGG
rnacentral:rRNA from 1 species